rnacentral:sRNA from 1 species
UCUUGCGAGCACUUCGCAGACCGUCGCUAAUGAAUCUUGGGGCCGGUGUCGGGCCGGGGCGGCUUGAUCGGCAACUAGGAAACCCCAGGCGCAGAGGCCAGGAGCGAGGGCAGCGAGGAUCAGAGGCCAGGCCUUCCCGGCUGCCGGCGCUCCUCGGAGGUCAGGGCAGAUGAGGAACAUGACUCUCCCCCUUCUGAGGAGGAAGGAAGUCCCGCUGCCACCUUAUCUCUGCUCCUCUGCCUCCUCCCUGUUCCCAGAGCUUUUUCUCUAGAGAAGAUUUUGAAGGCGGCUUUUGUGCUGACGGCCACCCACCAUCAUCUAAAGAAGAUAAACUUGGCAAAUGACAUGCAGGUUCUUCAAGGCAGAAUAAUUGCAGAAAAUCUUCAAAGGACCCUAUCUGCAGAUGUUCUGAAUACCUCUGAGAAUAGAGAUUGAUUAUUCAACCAGGAUACCUAAUUCAAGGUAUUAGCUCUCGUCAGAAAGCUUUUACAUUUGAGCUCUGUGUUGGAAAUUCUAUUUUGGCAAUGAAUUGAAAUAGGAAAAGUUGG